CCUACGGGAGGCAGCAGUGAGGAAUAUUGGUCAAUGGCCGGAAGGCUGAACCAGCCAUGCCGCGUGAAGGUCAGUGCCCUAUGGGCGUUAAACUUCUUUUGUGCAGGAGCAAUAAUGGACACGUGUGGCCAGACGAGAGUACCGUACGAAUAAGCAUCGGCUAAACCCGUGCCAGCAGCCGCGGUAAUACGGGGGAUGCAAGCGUUAUCCGGAUUUAUUGGGUUUAAAGGGUGCGUAGGCUGUGAGGUAAGUCAGCGGGGAAAUGCCCCCGCUCAACGGGGUGAAGUGCCAUUGAUACGGCCUGGCUGGAAUGCGGAUGCGGUGGGCGGAAUGUGUGGUGUAGCGGUGAAAUGCAUAGAUAUCACACAGAACACCGAUUGCGAAGGCAUGUCACGAAUCCGCGAUUGACGCUGAUGCACGAAAGCGUGGGUAUCAAACGGGAUUAGAUACCCCAGUAGUC
rnacentral:rRNA from 1 species